UACGUAUGGGGCAAGCGUUAUCCGGAUUUACUGGGUGUAAAGGGAGCGCAGGCGGCCUGCCAAGUCUGGUGUGAAAACCCGGGGCUCAACCCCGGGCCUGCAUUGGAAACUGGCGGGCUGGAGUGUCGGAGGGGCAGGCGGAAUUCCUAGUGUAGCGGUGAAAUGCGUAGAUAUUAGGAGGAACACCGGUGGCGAAGGCGGCCUGCUGGACGAUGACUGACGCUGAGGCUCGAAAGCGUGGGGAGCAAACA
rnacentral:rRNA from 1 species